CACGUAGGGCGCAAGCGUUGUCCGGAAUUAUUGGGCGUAAAGAGCUCGUAGGCGGUCUGUUGCGUCUGCUGUGAAAACCCGGGGCUUAACCCCUGGCUUGCAGUGGAUACGGGCGGGCUAGAGGCAGGCAGGGGAGAACGGAAUUCCCGGUGUAGCGGUGAAAUGCGCAGAUAUCGGGAGGAACACCGGUGGCGAAGGCGGUUCUCUGGACAGUUCCUGACGCUGAGGCACGAAGGCCAGGGGAGCAAACGGG
rnacentral:rRNA from 1 species